AUUGAACGCUGGCGGCAUGCCUUACACAUGCAAGUCGAACGGUAACAGGGAGCUUGCUCCGCUGACGAGUGGCGAACGGGUGAGUAAUGUAUCGGAACGUACCAUUCAGUGGGGGAUAACGUAGCGAAAGUUACGCUAAUACCGCAUAUUCUGUGAGCAGGAAAGCAGGGGAUCGCAAGACCUUGCGCUGAUUGAGCGGCCGAUAUCAGAUUAGCUAGUUGGUGAGGUAAAGGCUCACCAAGGCGACGAUCUGUAGCGGGUCUGAGAGGAUGAUCCGCCACACUGGAACUGAGACACGGUCCAGACUCCUACGGGAGGCAGCAGUGGGGAAUUUUGGACAAUGGGGGCAACCCUGAUCCAGCCAUGCCGCGUGAGUGAAGAAGGCCUUCGGUUGUAAGACUCUUUCGGUCCGGGAAAAGUACGACAUCAGUUAAUACCUAGGUGUGGAUGAUGGUACGGAAUAAGAAGACACCGGCUAACUACGU
rnacentral:rRNA from 1 species